rnacentral:rRNA from 1 species
UACGUAGGGGGCUAGCGUUGUCCGGAAUCAUUGGGCGUAAAGCGCGUGUAGGCGGUCCGGUAAGUCCGCUGUGAAAGUCGGGGGCUCAACCCUCGAAUGCCGGUGGAUACUGUCGGGCUAGAGUGCGGAAGAGGCGAGUGGAAUUCCUGGUGUAGCGGUGAAAUGCGCAGAUAUCGGGAGGAACACCAAUUGCGAAGGCAGCUCGCUGGGACGUUACUGACGCUGAGACGCGAAAGCGUGGGGAGCAAACAGG